rnacentral:tRNA from 1 species
GGGCCGGUAGUUCAGUGGUAGAAUGUCCGGUUUGCACCCGGAGGGUCGAGGGUUCGAGUCCCUCCCGGUCCA